rnacentral:rRNA from 1 species
GAUGAACGCUGGCGGCGUGCUUAACACAUGCAAGUCGAACGAAACACCUUAUUUGAUUUUCUUCGGAACUGAAGAUUUGGUGAUUGAGUGGCGGACGGGUGAGUAACGCGUGGGUAACCUGCCCUGUACAGGGGGAUAACAGUCAGAAAUGACUGCUAAUACCGCAUAAGACCACAGCACCGCAUGGUGCAGGGGUAAAAACUCCGGUGGUACAGGAUGGACCCGCGUCUGUGUAGCUGGUUGGUGAGGUAACGGCUAACCAAGGCGACGAUCAGUAGCCGGCUUGAGAGAGUGAACGGCCACAUUGGGACUGAGACACGGCCCAAACUCCUACGGGAGGCAGCAGUGGGGAAUAUUGCACAAUGGGGGAAACCCUGAUGCAGCGACGCCGCGUGAGUGAAGAAGUAUUUCGGUAUGUAAAGCUCUAUCAGCAGGGAAGAAAAUGACGGUACCUGACUAAGAAGCCCCGGCUAACUACGUG